rnacentral:rRNA from 1 species
CCUACGGGAGGCAGCAGUGGGGGAUAUUGCACAAUGGGGGAAACCCUGAUGCAGCGACGCCGCGUGGGUGAAGAAGCGCCUCGGCGCGUAAAGCUCUGUCAGCAGGGAAGAAAAUGACGGUACCUGAAGAAGAAGCCCCGGCUAACUACGUGCCAGCAGCCGCGGUAAUACGUAGGGGGCAAGCGUUAUCCGGAUUUACUGGGUGUAAAGGGGGCGCAGACGGCGAUGCAAGCCAGGAGUGAAAGCCCGGGGCCCAACCCCGGGACUGCUCUUGGAACUGCGUGGCUAGAGUGCAGGAGGGGCGGGCGGAAUUCCUGGUGUAGCGGUGAAAUGCGUAGAUAUCAGGAGGAACGCCGAUGGCGAAGGCGGCCUGCUGGACUGCAACUGACGUUGAGGCCCGAAAGCGUGGGGAGCAAACAGGAUUAGAUACCCUUGUAGUC